AUGGCCAAGGAGCGACGGGUGCGAAUGGUGGCGAAGCAGAUCCAGCGAGAGCUGGCGGACAUGCUAACCCGCGACCUCGUCAUGCAGCGCGCCGUCCUCCCCGAGGCCGCCUCGGCGCCGACCGCUACCUCUCCUCCCCCACCACCAUCGCCGAGGUCGAGCUCUCCAACAACCUCCAGGUGUGCAAGGUGUAUGUGUCCGUGUUCGGGGAAGAAGGGGGCCAUGGCCGGGCUCAAGGACAAGACCAAGUACCUCCAGGUCACGCCCGAGCUCUCCAACGACCUCCAGGUCAUUUAA
rnacentral:rRNA from 1 species